rnacentral:rRNA from 1 species
CCUACGGGUGGCAGCAGUGGGGAAUAUUGGGCAAUGGGCGCAAGCCUGACCCAGCAACGCCGCGUGAAGGAAGAAGGCUUUCGGGUUGUAAACUUCUUUUCUCAGGGACGAAGCAAGUGACGGUACCUGAGGAAUAAGCCACGGCUAACUACGUGCCAGCAGCCGCGGUAAGACGUAGGUGGCAAGCGUUAUCCGGAUUUACUGGUUGUAAGGGGCGUGUAGGCGGGGACGCAAGUCAGAUGUGAAAACCACGGGCUCAAACUGUGGCCUGCAUUUGAAACUGGGUUUCUUGAGUACUGGAGAGGCAGACGGAAUGCCUAGUGUAGCGGUGAAAUGCGUAGAUAUUAGGAGGAACACCAGUGGCGAAGGCGGUCUGCUGGACAGCAACUGACGCUGAGGCGCGAAAGCGUGGGGAGCAAACAGGAUUAGAUACCCGAGUAGUC